rnacentral:lncRNA from 1 species
UUUCAUAAAAAAAAGAGUCUAAUUUAUUAUAUAUAAAAAAAAUAAUACUUAACAAGUUGUAUAGUCCCCCACUCGACUUGAUCCCAUUAAUGUGGAGUAUUCUACAAAGAUAAUUUCAAAAAAAGGUGUUGAAGCAUUAACUAUUCUUGGCCCACAAGGGAUUUGAAUUAAACAACUAGGGAGGGAAAUUCAUAUACUAUUAAAGUUAGAUUGGAAGUCGGGCAGGCUGGCAGGCAAUUGUUUAGACAAAUAUUAAUUAAGCUUGCUUUUUCCAAAUAUAUAUCCCAAGGAAAUGGCCUAGAGUAAGAGCCAG